GGUCCAAUCGAUCAGUCUAGUGAAAGCGAAAAACAAACAUCUCCAUCCUUCACCUGAUCCAGCCCGACCCCGGGAAUCAUGACAGGUCCAGUCGAUCGUUCUACUCGCCAUGAAGAACCGAAAACAUCUCCACCCUUCACAUCAUCCAGCACGACACCAGGAAUGAUGACAAGUCCAGUCGAUCGUUCUACUCGCCAUGAAGAACCGAAAACAUCUCCACCCUUCACGUCAUCCAGCACGACA